UACGAAGGGUGCAAGCGUUACUCGGAAUUACUGGGCGUAAAGCGUGCGUAGGUGGUGAGUUAAGUCUGUCGUGAAAGCCCCGGGCUCAACCUGGGAAUGGCGAUGGAUACUGGCUCGCUAGAGUGCGGUAGAGGAGAGUGGAAUUCCCGGUGUAGCGGUGAAAUGCGCAGAUAUCGGGAGGAACACCAAUGGCGAAGGCAGCUCGCUGGGACGGUACUGACGCUGAGACGCGAAAGCGUGGGGAGCAAACAGG
rnacentral:rRNA from 1 species